CUAGUCUCCCCACUACUCUCUACAGAGCGCUCCCCCAGUCCCACCACUACUCUCUAUAGAGCGCUCCCCCAGUCCCACCACUACUCUCUACAGAGCGCUCCCCUAGUCUCCCCACUACUCUCUACAGAGCGCUCCCCCAGUCCCACCACUACUCUCUAAAGAGAGUAUACCACCCAUACAGGAGACAGGACUACUGCCAUAUACCACCCAUACAGGAGACAGGACUACUGCCAUAUACCACCCAUACAGGAGACAGGACUACUGCCAUAUACCACCCAUACAGGAGACAGGACUACUGCCAUAUACCACCCAUACAGGAGACAGGACUACUGCCAUA